AAAGUCGUAACAAGGUUUCCGUAGGUGAACCUGCGGAAGGAUCAUUACUAAUGUUUACUCAUUCUUAAUAAACCAAACCUUAUGUGAACCUAUUUGUCGUUGGCUGGUACCAGCCUGCUGUUAGUCUGCCUAGGUUCAUUUAUUUGACUGGGGUGGAUGUUGUAGGCAGGGACCAGUUGACACCCACAAACAAUGUAUUUAACACCUAUGCCUUGAUAUCCGUCCAAGUGUCUGGGCAGUAAUGCCUAGUUAUCUUGGACAACUAAGGGUAAAAAACUUUUAGCAACGGAUCUCUUGGCUCUC
rnacentral:misc_RNA from 1 species